rnacentral:tRNA from 1 species
GAUCUCGUAGUAAAACUGGAUAUUACGGUUCCCUCCUAAGGAAUUGUUCUGGGUUCGAGUCCCGGCGGGGUCACCA